rnacentral:rRNA from 1 species
AGUAAUGUAUGGGGAUCUGCCUGAUGGCGGGGGAUAACUACUGGAAGCGGUAGCUAAUACCGCAUAAUGUCUGCGGACCAAAGCGGGGGACCUCCGGGCCUCGCGCCAUCAGAUGAACCCAUAUGGGAUUAGCUAGUAGGUAAGGUAACGGCUUACCUAGGCGACGAUCCCUAGCUGGUCUGAGAGGAUGAUCAGCCACACUGGGACUGAGACACGGCCCAG